rnacentral:rRNA from 1 species
CCUACGGGAGGCAGCAGUGAGGAAUAUUGGUCAAUGGGCGCAAGCCUGAACCAGCCAAGUCGCGUGAGGGAUGACGGUCCUAUGGAUUGUAAACCUCUUUUGUCGGGGAGCAAGGCCCGCCACGUGUGGCGGGAAGGAUAGUCCCCAAAGAAAAAGCAUCGGCUAACUCCGUGCCAGCAGCCGCGGUAAUACGGGGGAUGCGAGCGUUAUCCGGAUUUAUUGGGUUUAAGGGGUGCGUAGGCGGAAGGUUAAGUCAGCGGUAAAAUGUCGGUGCUAACCACCGGCCUGCCGUUGAAACUGGGUUUCUUGAGUGAGCGAGAAGUAGGCGGAAUGCGUGGUGUAGCGGUGAAAUGCAUAGAUAUCACGCAGAACUCCGAUUGCGAAGGCAGCAUACCGGCGCUCAACUGACGCUCAUGCACGAAAGCGUGGGUAUCGAACAGGAUUAGAUACCCUAGUAGUC